rnacentral:rRNA from 1 species
AUACGGAGGGUGCAAGCGUUAAUCGGAAUUACUGGGCGUAAAGCGCACGCAGGCGGUCUGUCAAGUCGGAUGUGAAAUCCCCGGGCUCAACCUGGGAACUGCAUUCGAAACUGGCAGGCUUGAGUCUUGUAGAGGGGGGUAGAAUUCCAGGUGUAGCGGUGAAAUGCGUAGAGAUCUGGAGGAAUACCGGUGGCGAAGGCGGCCCCCUGGACAAAGACUGACGCUCAGGUGCGAAAGCGUGGGGAGCAAACAGGAUUAGAUACCCUGGUAGUCCACGCUGUAAACGAUGUCGACUUGGAGGUUGUUCCCUUGAGGAGUGGCUUCCGGAGCUAACGCGUUAAGUCGACCGCCUGGGGAGUACGGCCGCAAGGUUAAA